rnacentral:rRNA from 1 species
UACGUAGGGUGCAAGCGUUGUCCGGAAUUAUUGGGCGUAAAGAGCUCGUAGGCGGUCUGUCGCGUCGGAUGUGAAACCUCGGGGCUCAACCCCGAGCCUGCAUUCGAUACGGGCAGACUAGAGUUCGGUAGGGGAGACUGGAAUUCCUGGUGUAGCGGUGAAAUGCGCAGAUAUCAGGAGGAACACCGGUGGCGAAGGCGGGUCUCUGGGCCGACACUGACGCUGAGGAGCGAAAGCGUGGGGAGCGAACAGG